rnacentral:rRNA from 1 species
UACGUAGGGGGCAAGCGUUGUCCGGAAUCAUUGGGCGUAAAGCGCGUGUAGGCGGCCCGGUAAGUCCGCUGUGAAAGUCGGGGGCUCAACCCUCGAAUGCCGGUGGAUACUGUCGGGCUAGAGUACGGAAGAGGCGAGUGGAAUUCCUGGUGUAGCGGUGAAAUGCGCAGAUAUCAGGAGGAACACCGAUGGCGAAGGCAGGUCUCUGGGCCACUACUGACGCUGAGAAGCGAAAGCAUGGGGAGCGAACAGG